UACAGAGGUCGCGAGCGUUGUUCGGAUUUACUGGGCGUAAAGGGCGCGUAGGCGGUGGGGUAAGUUUGAGGUGAAAGCUCCGGGCUCAACCCGGAAAAUGCCUUGAAAACUAUCCGGCUAGAGGGUUGGAGGGAAGACUGGAAUUCUCGGUGUAGCAGUGAAAUGCGUAGAUCUCGAGAGGAACACCAGUGGCGAAGGCGGGUCUCUGGACAACACCUGACGCUGAGGCACGAAAGCCAGGGGAGCAAACGGG
rnacentral:rRNA from 1 species